rnacentral:rRNA from 1 species
CUCACCAGGUCAGGACACGGUAAGGAUUGACGGACUGAAGGCUCUUUCUCGAUUCCGUGGAAAGUGGUGCAUGGUCCGUUUUUGGUUGGUGGAUCGAUCCGUCUGGUUAAUUCCGUUAACGAACGAGACCUCGGCACUCCGAAUAGCGCGGCGGACGUCGCGGCCUCCGGGCCGUCUUCCGCACGAGCUUCUUAGAGGGACCGUCCCCCGCCGGGGAAGGAGGUGCGAGGCAACGACAGGUCUGUGAUGCCCUUAGAUGUUCUGGGCCGCACGCGCAUUACACUGACGCGUCCAACGGGUGACUCCCGACCCGAAGGGGCCGGGGAAUCCGCAAGGCGCGUCGUGAUGGGGAUUGAACGUUGCAAUUGUUGUUCACGAACGAGGAAUUCCUAGUAGGCGCGGGUCAUCAACCCGCGCCGAUUACGUCCCUGCCC